rnacentral:piRNA from 1 species
UCGAACUCCUGACCUCAGGUGAUCCGCCUGC